CUGUGGCUUGGUCUGUCCAAAUACAGAGUGUGGAAAACCAGUUGAUGUAAGCGGCACUCAUUCUUUUGGUUACGCGUGCGCAAUUAAUUUCCUUCUAUAUUACAUAUAAAAUAGUUAAAGUUCGAUAUCAAUUGUUACCAUGAUCAAGCAAUGACCCACUAUAUCAUCAUACAUCAUUAGAAAGAUAAAUGCAUAAUCGUUUGAAAAAAUGGAUGUCAUUAAAUUAUAUACGUUGUAACUCAAAAUAUUCACGUUAGAAUAGGCACACCGGUUUUGACAGCUGUGCAGGCGACCAUUUUAGGCUCAAAUAGUAUGACCUACUUUCAAAGCCGGGAAUCAUCAACAGAAAAAGUAGAGCACAAAAAUGGCGGUUUUUCUUAAUGCUUACAAAUAUACCUACAAAUUGAUGCCAAAACCAACCAUUUGCAAUGUAUUUUACAAAUCCUAUGCAGCAUGCACUGAACAAUGUGUGCUAAAUAUCAACAGGUGUUCCGGUUUGGGGUUAUGUGACCUUUUGGUACGUCCGAAUUUCAGAGUGUGGAAUACCAGUUGAUAUAAGCGGCACUCAGUCGCUUGGUCCGUCCAAAUUUCAGAGUGUGGAUUAUCAAUUGAUGUAAGCGGCACGCUGUGACUUGGUACGUCCUAGUUUCAGAGUUUUGAACACCGGUUGAUGCAAGCGGCUAUUUGGCGCUUGGUCCGUCCAUAUUUUAGAGUGAGGAAUACCAAUGGAUGUAGGCGACAAUCUCUGGCUUGGUCCGUCAUAAUUCCUGAGUGGUGAAAAAAAAAUGUUGAAAGCGACACUCUGUGGGAUGGUCAUUCCUAGUUUCGACGAUUCAAAGGGAAUACUAUUCACAUCAACAACAAAAAGUAGAUUCACAACAUUCAUGUACUUAAAUAUGACGUGACAUGACUCUUUUUUGUCUAUAUAGACGUUUGACAACAUUUACUUAAUACAAGCGCGGUUAAAUGUUAAGUAGAAGCGGACAUGUUCGAUAACUUGAAUAUUAAAAUGCCGGUAAAAUCAGUUUGUUUUGUCUGUUUUGCAUGUUGGAAGAUAUAUGUUGAAAUAUAAUUGAAAUGAAUAUAAGCACUUACUGAAUUUAAUAUACUAUUUUUUACUUCACCUCUCUCACGCACACACACCUUCACUUCACAUAAAUCCGUCUUUAAAGCAGGCAAUGUGUGUACAGACUGUCCCCUAAUGGAUAUCUAGUGGCGGUUGGAUGUUUAAGAUUAAGUUAGCUUACUGCAGGUGGCGGAUGGAUGUUUAAGAUUUAGUUACCUUACUGCAGGUGGCGGAUGGAUGUUUAAGAUUUAGUUACCUUACUGCAGGUGGCGGAUGGAUGUUUAAUAUUUAAUUUGCUUACUGCAGGCGGCGGAUGGAUGUUUAAGAUUUUGUUUGCUUACUGCAGGUGGCGGAUGGAUGUUUAAGAUUAAGUUACCUUACUGCAGGUGGCGGUUGGAUGUUUAAGAAUUAGUUAGCUUAUGCAGGUGGCGGAUGGAUGUUUAAGAUAAAGUUACCUUACUGCAGGUGGCGGAUGGAUGUUUAAGAUUUAGUUACCUUACUGCAGGUGGCGGAUGGAUGUUUAAGAUUUAGUUAUCUUACUGCAGUUGGCGGAUGGAUGUUUAAUAUUUAAUUAGCUUACUGCAUGCGGCGGAUAGAUGUUUAAGAUUUAGUUUGCUUACUGCAGGUUGCUGAUGGAUGUUUAAGAUUUAGUUACCUUACUGCAGGUGGCGGUUGGAUGUUUAAGAUUUAGUUAGCUUACUGCAGGUGGCGGAUGGAUGUUUAAGAUUUAGUUACCUUACUGCAGGUGGUGGAUGGAUGUUUAAGAUUUAGUUUGCUUACUGCAGGUGGCGGAUGGAUGUUUAAGAUUUAGUUUGCUUACUGCAUGUGGCGGAUGGAUGUUUAAUAUUUAGUUAGCUUACUGCAGGCGGCGGAUGGAUGUUUAAGAUUUAGUUUGCUAACUGCAGGUGGCGGAUGGAUGUUUAAGAUUCAGUUUGCUUACUGCAGGUGUCGGAUGGAUGUUUAAGAUUUAGUUAGCUUACUGCAGGUGGUGGAUGUAUGUUUAAGAUUUAGUUAGCUUACUGCAGGUGGCGGAUGGAUGUUUAAGAUUUAGUUUGCUUACUGCAGGCGGCGGAUGGAUGUUUAAGAUUUAGUUUGCUUACUGCAGGUGGCGGAUGG